AAAGAAAGAAAGAAAGAAAAAGAGAAAGAAAGAAGGAAAGAAAGAAAAAAAGAAAGAAAGAAGGAAGGAAGGAAAGAAGAAGAGGAAGGAAGGAAGGAAGGAGAGAGAGAGAGAGAGAGAAAGAAAGAGGAAAAAAGGGUUACUUGACUGCUCGAAGUGGAAGCCAGAGAUGUUAAACACAGUGUCCCUUGUUCAGUUGGGAGAAAAGAGGCAUGAGCACUUCUCCGUGUCUUGGCCCAAGGGCACACACCGUGAGUCAGCGAUGUCUCCCAGAAGGGGUCUGGAGUCCCAUCCACAGGGUCCUGUGAUGUUGCCCUGAUUGGUCUCGAACUUGUGGCAUCAACUGGUCCUCCUGCCUCACCUGCCAAAGUGCUGGGAUUACAGGCGUGAGCCACCAUGCCUGGCCUUCAGUUCACCAUUUAUUUAUCUACUGGAAAAGACCUGGGCCAGAUGCAGUGAAGGGUAGAAGUCCAAAAUCAAGGUGAUGAAAUCAUCCAAUCAAUCACCCAAUCACAGAAGCUAGGGUCACAUUUCCUACCUGUGUCUCUGCAGAUCUGGGCUCCCCCAUGCCAGUUGCCUUCUGCCUUCUCAGGGUGGUAAGAAGGUAGUCCCUACACGCAUCUCUUCCUGAGGAAAUCUGCCCUCGUCUGUAGCUCUAAUACAGCGUCCCAGGCUCCAUCCCUGGAGAUGCUGAUUCUGUAGGUUGGGGUGGGGCCCAUGAAUGUACAUUUCUAAUGCUACUGGUGCAGAGAACCCACCUUGAGAACCACUGCCUUACAGCAGGUAUAAGCCCAGGUAGCUGUGUUUGUACUAAGGGAGCUUGGCCUCCACUGACGGAGCCAAACGUGUGUGGCUGACCAAAAAGCCAAUGAAAUUUUCUCUCCUUAAAACAUGAGAUGGGGACACUGGGAGAUUGAACUAGACACGA
rnacentral:lncRNA from 10 species